GGUUACGGGGUGGCCGUUUUUCUGCGUGGACCAAGCAGGGUCCCAGUUCAAGUUUCUGCUGCGUAUCUGAUAAUCUUGAGGUAUUUAUGAAGGACUCCUUUGAAAGUUCUCUACUGAGUUUCCUUAAGGAAUUGGAAUAUUAUUCAAUCCAGGUUUAAGUCCUUCAGCAUCUGACAUUCUCCUGGCAACUGUAAUUGAAUCAAUGAUGACUCAUCUGAGAUGAGCAAGUUGGUCCAGUCAGACCAAACAAAAGACAUUCUAUAAUCAGGGGAGAAGUCUUCUCUAUAUCUCUCUUAUAUGAGCAAAUUUAAUGACCUCCACCAUCUCUAAGAACAAGCAGCUAUUUCUGUAGAGAAAGAUCGUCUUUGGAUAACAAUACAUGAUUUUAGGCUCCAAAAGUUAAAACGUGUUUGUAAUGUUGAUAUUAUGCAGAGGUCUUGACAGAACUUGGCAGUCUCUGAGGCUACAGAGAAGUGUGAAAAAGAGCAUAGAGAUUUCAGAAGGAGGCAGAUUCAGUCAGACGUACUGAAUCCCGUUUGAUCUCAACUCAGGCACACUCCAGAUGGAC
rnacentral:antisense_RNA from 1 species